AUAACAUUUGUCCAUGUACUAGCACAAUGACUUUCUUAGUGCUUAACAAUGCAGUGGCGGAUCCAGAACUUUUUAUCCUCACACUUUAUUCCUGGGGCAGUAUGAUUAUCAUUAUAUAAUUAACAAUGUGUCGUCCUAACACAGAGGCAAUGAUUACUAGUAUAUCAAAUAAAUGGCUUAAAACAAAAAUCUCAAAUGUCAUUGCUUCAAUGGUAAUUA
rnacentral:lncRNA from 1 species